rnacentral:tRNA from 1 species
GGCUUGUUAGCUCAGUUGGUAGAGCACUGCACUAGUAUUGCAGAGGUCAUGGGUUCAAAUCCCAUAAGGACCU